GGGGGAUAUUGCACAAUGGACGGAAGUCUGAUGCAGCGACGCCGCGUGGGGGAUGAAGGCUUUCGGGUUGUAAACCUCUUUUAUUCCUGAACAAGGCUUGGAUUGUUGUCUGGGUUGAGGGUAGGGGGUGAAUAAGCGCCGGCUAACUACGUGCCAGCAGCCGCGGUAAUACGUAGGGCGCGAGCGUUGUCCGGAUUUAUUGGGCGUAAAGAGCUCGUAGGCGGUUUGUUGCGUCUGCUGUGAAAACGCGGGGCUUAACUUCGCGCGUGCAGUGGGUACGGGCAGGCUAGAGUGCGGUAGGGGAGAUUGGAAUUCCUGGUGUAGCGGUGGAAUGCGCAGAUAUCAGGAGGAACACCAGUGGCGAAGGCGACUCUCUGGACUUAAACUGACGCUGAGGCACGAAAGCGUGGGGAGCAAACA
rnacentral:rRNA from 1 species